CAGCAGCCGCGGUAAUACGUAGGUGGCAAGCGUUGUCCGGAAUUAUUGGGCGUAAAGGGCUCGCAGGCGGUUUCUUAAGUCUGAUGUGAAAGCCCCCGGCUCAACCGGGGAGGGUCAUUGGAAACUGGGAAACUUGAGUGCAGAAGAGGAGAGUGGAAUUCCACGUGUAGCGGUGAAAUGCGUAGAGAUGUGGAGGAACACCAGUGGCGAAGGCGACUCUCUGGUCUGUAACUGACGCUGAGGCACGAAUGCGUGGGGAGCAAACAGGAUUAGAUACCCCAGUAGUCCCUGUCUCUUAUAC
rnacentral:rRNA from 1 species